AAGAGUGGAACUUUUAGCAAGAGGUCAAAUUUAAGAGACCAUCAGUUUAAUAUAGACUGUUAUAUACACAGCUUAUUAUAUAUGAAUCCCAUGGUAAUCACAAAACAGAAACCUAUAACAAGCAGAAAAA